AAACGUUACUUGUCGUGCGCAACGCGCGUUACUCGGGUACUUUAGGCUGUGCCAAUUUCGAAUCAGUCAGGUACCUGAAGUAGCGCGCGCUGCGGCGAAA
rnacentral:pre_miRNA from 1 species